CUGUAACAUAGAGGCUUUCUACGGCACUAAAAAUGCUCUGUAUGAUACUAGAAUGAGGGACACAUGUCAUUAUACAUUUGGCCACACCAAUACAAAGUAUGACGCUAAGAGUGAGCCCUAAUGUAAACUAUGAGCUUUGGGUGAUUAUGAUGUGUUAAUGUAGGUUCAUCAAUUGUGACAAAUGUACCACUCUGGUGGGGGAUGUUAAUAAUGGAGAGGCUAUACUUGUAAGUAAUAUAAUGUAUGAAUAGGAUAAUGGUAAACAGCACAAAUGGCUAUAGAAUAAGAGACGAGAGAUUCCUUUUAAGAGCAAGCUUUGUGUAGACUUGGAAAAUAGAGCUUCAAUUGUCCAGAAAAUUUUAUAACAACUUGUGUCUACAAAUUUAAGUCAAAUUUUGACAUGGACGUUUUGCGGCAAGGACUCACGGCCUUUCAGCUACACUAGGCUGGACGACUGCAGCUGGUUGUGGAGUGAUCUACUCCUGGAGUUUGCAGCCAAAUGCAAAGUGGACCAGAGUAUUGGGAGCGGUUAAUGGCGAAAAAUAAAAGAAUGACGUUCGCUUAACAAGAAUUGAAGACAGUAAUAGUUCACAAAAGUGACAUGCCAACAAGGCAAAUUUGAAGGCUGGAAAGGAGGCACUGGUCAUAUAGUAAUGGAAAAUGUGGAAAACUCUGCUGCUUGACACCUCUUCACCUUCAUUGACCAAAGUCUUCUGGACGAAUCUAUAGCUACUGACAAUCACUGAAGACUGCCUUGGAGAAGUCAUGUGGAGAUUAUGAUUUUCUUAGGUUUAUGAGGUUGAAGAGUGGGCACUUGGUUGUGAUUCUGGUUGGCUGAGCACCAGUCUCCAUAAGAACCGCAGGAUUUUCUCCCAAACUGCUGAAACCCACUCCGUAGGUGUUGAUGCUGGCACUUCCAAUAUUCCUGCAUGCUCAGGGAAUGACAGCUGCGUCAUAACUACUGCCUGCCAAUGGUGAUCCUAGAACACCAUAGACUUCAGACCCACCCUGAUUUUCAAGACAUGGA
rnacentral:lncRNA from 1 species